rnacentral:rRNA from 1 species
GAUGAACGCUAGCGGCAGGCUUAACACAUGCAAGUCGAGGGGUAACAGGGUUUAGUUUACUAGAUUGCUGACGACCGGCGCACGGGUGAGUAACGCGUAUACAAUUUACCUUUUACAGGAGGAUAGCCCAGAGAAAUUUGGAUUAAUACUCCAUAGUAUUAUUUGGCCACCUGGUCAGAUAAUUAAAGUUCCGGCGGUAAAAGAUGAGUAUGCGUCCUAUUAGCUAGAUGGUAAGGUAACGGCUUACCAUGGCGACGAUAGGUAGGGGUCCUGAGAGGGAGAUCCCCCACACUGGUACUGAGACACGGACCAGACUCCUACGGGAGGCAGCAGUGAGGAAUAUUGGGCAAUGGAGGCAACUCUGACCCAGCCAUGCCGCGUGCAGGAAGACUGCCCUAUGGGUUGUAAACUGCUUUUAUACAGGAAGAAACUUACCCACGUGUGGGUAACUGACGGUACUGUAAGAAUAAGGACCGGCUAACUCCG